rnacentral:tRNA from 1 species
AGCUAUAGGAUACAGCAACAGCCUUUUAAGCUGUAGAUAGGUGACCUCCUCCCACCCUCAUCGA